GCUCAGAAACUUAAAGGAAUUGACGGGACCCGCACAAGCAGCGGAGCAUGUGGUUUAAUUCGAAGCAACGCGAAGAACCUUACCAGAUCUUGACAUCCAAUUGACCAUCUUUUAAUCGAGAUUUUGCCUUCGGGUACAAUUGAGACAGGUGGUGCAUGGUUGUCGUCAGCUCGUGUCGUGAGAUGUUGGGUUAAGUCCCGCAACGAGCGCAACCCUUGUGUUUAGUUGCAAACAGGUCAAGCUGUGCACUCUAGACAGACUGCCGUGGACAACACGGAGGAAGGUGGGGAUGACGUCAAAUCAUCAUGCCCCUUAUGAUCUGGGCUACACACGUGCUACAAUGGCCGGUACAACGGGCAGCGAAGGAGCGAUCCGGAGCGAAUCCUAAAAAGCCGGUCCCAGUUCGGAUUGCAGGCUGAAACUCGCCUACAUGAAGUUGGAGUUGCUAGUAAUCGCGAAUCAGAAUGUCGCGGUGAAUGCGUUCCCGGGUCUU
rnacentral:rRNA from 1 species